CAGACUUAAGCAGCACGAUGUGGCAGAACAAUCCCCAUUGCUGAAGGAAUGUCCAGUUCUUGCCCUUUUAAAGCUGCUGCCUCUGUGACACGUCAAAUUAGGAUCACUCCUGGGGACCUAGGGGCAGAGCCACGCCCCAUGAAAGGGCUCUCCCGGGCAACCUGCCUCUUCUGCUCUCUUCUCUGAAGCAGUGAUUUGGGGGCGGGGAGAGGGGCGUGGCCGGCAGGUGUUAGAUGGAGCCCUCCUCAGGGGGCCAGGCUGGAAGCAGGAAGAAUAGCAGCUAACAGUUGUUGUGACUUAGGACUAUCUCGUCCUCACAACAAGCCUGCGAUGAAGAGACUCUUCCUAUUAUUCCCACUUUUCAGGAAAAUAUCUGUGAAAGGUACAGGCCAUCAUGGUGCGGCUGUCAAGACCAAAGGGGAGGCUCCACCCUGGGCCCAGUAAACAGGAACACUCAAGUCCCAAGAAGUUAAGUGACUUGGCCAAGAAUGUUCAGUCUGCUAAUAGCACAGCAUGAACGCUGCUGCCAACAGCACCACCAACAUAGCCUGAUUCCUAGCCCAGGAGCCAGGACUCUCCUCAGAGCACUUUUGUUGCAGCUGAAAGCGGAUCUGGAGUUCAGGGGUGAGGUCUGAGCUGGAGAUGUGAGUUUGGGGGUCAUCAUGCAUCAGUGGUAUUUAAAACUACAAGGCUGGGUGAAGUCACCAAGGGAGUGAGCAUAGAUGGAAAAAGAGCUUCAAGUAAAGCACCCUGGGCAUUUCAGUGAUCAGUGAUUGGGAAGAUGAGAAGGAACCUGCACAGGAGACUAAGAGGAAGUGGUCAUUGAGGGCAUCCAGAAAGAGUGGUAUUCCAGGAACCAAGAAAAGACAUGCUUCAAGAAAGAGAGAGUAAUCGACUAUGCCGAAUGCUGCCGAGAGGUCAAGAAAAGGUAGAACUGAGAAUUGACUGUUGAAUGUAGCAAGAGGGAGGCCAUUGGUGACCUUGACAAAAGCUUUUUCAGGAGAAUGUUGGGAGCAAACACUUGAGAUUGGAGUGACUCAAGAGAAAAUGGGAGGAGAGACGUUGAAGACAGUGAGACAGACAACUCUUCCAAGUUAGGCUCCCUUACUGCCCCUUAGCUGUUCAGAGUCCAUCCAGGCCUACAUCCUAUCCUUGUCCUCCUCCUCCAUUUUCCACUUCCUCUCUUCCUUCUUUCUGUGCCCCAAAACUUGCCUAUUCCAUCUCCCAUUCCCUUAAGCCCUACUUUCCUUCAGGAAAAAGCCAUCUAAUAAACUGAUAUGCACUGAGAGUUUAAUUAAUAAGAAUUUAUUGAUAUUUUGCUGCCUUCAGGAUUAUGUGUAUUUUAACAAACAACUCUGUCAGAAAAACAGGGUUUCUUCCCCAAAGGAAAUCAUGGCAGCCAUAGAUGGGAGGAAGGAAAGAGGCUGAGCCAGGGACACCAUAUGGUCCCCCAUCCAUCACUAUCCAAUACCUACUUUUGACCUGCACAGUUUGAAAAGCUGAAAUUUUCCAUUUUGAAAUAAACUUUCAAGCUGAAGAAGUGACACAGAACAGUGAUGGCAUUGCCUGGCCCCAUGCUACUCAAGGGAGGUGCCAAGACACACUGAGUCUUCACCAGUUGUGAGGCAUUCUGAGGACUGUGUUACUAUAAUAAAAUUCCAAAGUACAAAUGGUUUCCUUUGGUCCAUAAAUUAUCUGGGGGAUCCCCAUAUUAAGAAGGCUCUCCAUGUGUUCUCUUCAGAGAGGGUAAAGGCAAAGUGGAGUUACAACUUAUGGGCUGAGAACUGCACAUAACCCACUGCUUGUCAUAUCCAUGCUGGGCCCCAGUGGCCAUUAUCCAGACUUCAUUUCUAGAUAAGACUGAGACAUGGAAAGUUUGAAGAGCACUGCUGGUCACACCCCUGGUCAGUAAAUUAAACCAUUAUUCGUAUCGAUUUAAAAGUCAUACACAAGAGGCAAUCUAAGAAGAGAUCACUAGUAACAAGACUAUCAAAACAGGAGACUUUACCAGAGUAAAGCAAGGAAAACGUUCUGCUCCAUCCCAAAUUUGACUUCUUCCUUGAAGGUACUGAAUGUGGGGAUUGCUCAGAAGCACCUGAGGAAGGAAGAGAUGACCUGCCAAGGAUGGCAGAGCCAGAAGACGCAGGAAGCUCUAAGGAUGGAGCUUUCAACCAAAUCCUCCUUGUUCUCAGAGACAGAGAGAGAGAUAAUGAACUGAGAGGGGCAAGAUUUAGCUUGCAUCUUGCUCUAGUCACAGACACUUCAUUAACUUCUUAAUUCAAAUGGAAUUUAAGAAUUCUCUAAGAAGAUUUGCUUCUCUCAAGUUCAUUAGCUUCACGGAAGCCAUUAGACUUCCUGGAAUUUUUAUUAAUGAUGCUAAUUAUCCAGCAAUAAUAUGCAAGACCCCUGUUACCUUCAGAGGGUAGUAGAAGACUGAGACGUCACAGAAGAACAGGCACUGUCAACUUUUCCUGCACAGACGGAAUCUUUUUUUCCUAGCAACUUUACUUUCUUUUAGUGUUACAAAGUGCCAUGAAGCCUGUGAUGGGUAACCUGCCAGAUUUCACCUGGUCCUCUGAAUAAAACCUGAUACCUGAUGUCACUUUUCUUGUCAUUUCUUCUCCUAAAAAGUUUUAUGCAGCCAACUAUCAGGUGAUGAGGGAAGAGUACAGACACCUGCAGAGGCCAACAUGGGCACACAGUUCUAAGAUGUUAAAAACAAAACAUUCCAAAUACAAAAAUUAUCAGAAGAAAUAAAGCUCUCUUACAGUAUAAGUCAGAGAGACAUGACAAAUACCCUCAGAGUAACCUGAGCUCUUGCCUAGCAUUAGCACUUUUUAAAGCCCAACUGCCAUCUUGAUUUGUGGUAUUCCCACGCAAGGCCAUGCAAUCCAGUGCCCAGAAAUGUUGAGUGCUGGGUUCUUUUCUUGGCUGCCUCUGAGUGACCUUGAGCAAAUCAACUCAACAUCCCAGUUACAGGAAAUAGACAAUCCCA
ensembl:lncRNA